rnacentral:rRNA from 1 species
CCUACGGGAGGCAGCAGUGGGGAAUAUUGGACAAUGGGCGAAAGCCUGAUCCAGCCAUGCCGCGUGUGUGAAGAAGGCCUUCGGGUUGUAAAGCACUUUCAGUGGGGAAGAAAGCCUUGGGGCUAAUACCCUCGAGGAAGGACAUCACCAACAGAAGAAGCACCGGCUAACUCCGUGCCAGCAGCCGCGGUAAUACGGAGGGUGCGAGCGUUAAUCGGAAUUACUGGGCGUAAAGCGCGCGUAGGCGGUCUGAUAAGCCGGUUGUGAAAGCCCCGGGCUCAACCUGGGAACGGCAUCCGGAACUGUCAGGCUAGAGUGCAGGAGAGGAAGGUAGAAUUCCCGGUGUAGCGGUGAAAUGCGUAGAGAUCGGGAGGAAUACCAGUGGCGAAGGCGGCCUUCUGGACUGACACUGACGCUGAGGUGCGAAAGCGUGGGUAGCAAACAGGAUUAGAUACCCUGGUAGU